GUUCCUUCCCUAAUACACCCGGUCCCGUAAUAUGUAAUCCCCCCAUCCAGCACCUAUUACAGAAUCCUUACCCAUUUCUUAUUUUCGUUUCCUUUUUCUGCCCUCAUAGAUUUAUGUUUCUUCUUCUAUCGAUAUUGCAGUUCUGUCCUCAUUUCUUCUGCUUUCAUAACAAAUCCUCAACAUUGUCUUCAUCGGAGGCCGAUUUUUUUCUCUCCUUUAUUGUUUUUUUUUUUGGUUUGGGUUUUGUUUGAAUGCAAGCUUUUGUUCCAUGGAUUUGUUAUCUCAAUCGGCUGACACUUUAUCAACGCUCUCUUUAGGGUUAGUUUCAUCUUCGCCGCAAUCUCACCGUACCCAGAUCCCUGAUGACUCUAUUAGUCUCGAGGUGGACGGAAGGGACCGACUCAGAUUUUGCACUCUCCAAACUCUGAACGCAACUCAGAUUUUUAUCAGGACCGACUCAGUUUAAUGAUCAAUCACGCUAGAAAGGUAAGAGAGUAACGAAGGAUCGAUCAUCGCCAAAGUCAACGAACCGCUCAAAAUAAUGGCUGGAAACUUAGGAUGCGUCGUCUUAUCCGUUGAUGGCAACGAAGGAAGCAUGGACGCCUUACGAUGGGCACUCGAUAAUCCCAUCUAGAAGUUCCUGCAUUCACGGCAGCUAUCGAGGCGCAUCAGAAGAGAAUCACUGAUGCGAUCUUGAACCAUGCUCUUCAGAUUUGCGCUGAAAAGAAGGCAAACGUGAAAACUCAAGUUGUGAUUGGGGAUCCAAAGGAAAAAAUUUGUGAAGUAAUUGAAAAUGUGCAUGCUGAUUUGCUUGUGAUAGGUUCCCGAGCUUUUGGCCCUAUUAAAAGAAUGUUGUGGUUGAUCAAGCACUUGGGCCUGGAAAAAGAGUUACCGUUGCAAUGGGAACUAACCAAAACUUGGAUUAUGUUGAACUAAGAUCUUGAGGCAGUACUGCAACUUGUUAACAAAUAUGCCUUCUGGUUUUUGGUGCUUUAGAGGAAACAUGUGCUCUUGGCAAUUUAGCCUUCCUGGAGAGAAUUGGCAGAGAUUGCUUUUUCCCUUAACUUGUGGAAUGGACAGAUGAAGUUGGAGGUUAUUUUCAAUGGCAACUUUGGACAGUAUUCGUUUUCCUGCUAGAUUGGUGAGCUAUUUUGUUUGAAGUGAAGAAUUGGUUUCAUGGAAGGCCAAUUGGAGUUGAGAGCAGGGUGAAAGAGAUAUUGUAUUGGCUUGAAUUUCUUCUAUUGAAUGCUUGCUUUAUAUUUUUAGUUGAAGUGAGAUAUUGAGGCAGUACUUCCGUUUAAUUCAGAAUUGUUGUAAAUUCAAUCGAGUUCUUGAUGAUAAUUCGAUAUGGUUAUGUUUUUAUUUUUA